CCCUCCCAUCUGAGAGAGCUGGACCUGACCUACAAUCAUCCAGGAGACUCAGGAGUGAAGCUACUGUCAGCGGGACUGGAAGAUCCAAACUGGAGACUGGACACUCUCAGGGUGGAGCCUGCUGGAGUCAGAUAUUUGACACCAGGUCCAUGGAGAUAUUCCUGUGAAC